rnacentral:rRNA from 1 species
UCUAGAAGCUUCGGCAAUGGAGGAAACUCUGACCGAGCGACGCCGCGUGGAGGAUGAAGGCCUUCGGGUUGUAAACUCCUUUCGGCCGGAAGGAAGGCCCUGGUGGCGAACCAGGGAUUGACCUACCGGCGGAAGAAGCCCCGGCUAACUUCGUGCCAGCAGCCGCGGUAAUACGAAGGGGGCAAGCGUUAUGCGGAUUUACUGGGCGUAAAGGGCGCGCAGGCGGCUCGGCAAGUCUGGUGUGAAAACGCUACCGCUUAACGGAGCGACGGCGCUGGAAACUGCCGAACUUGAGUCCGCGAGAGGCUGGUGGAAUUCCUGGUGUAGCGGUGGAAUGCACAGAGAUCAGGAGGAACACCUGAGGCGAAGGCGACCAGCUGGCGCGGUACUGACGCUGAGGCGCGAAAGCGUGGGGAGCAAACA